rnacentral:rRNA from 1 species
AGAACCUGAAACCGUGUACGUACAAGCAGUGGGAGCACCUUCGUGGUGUGACUGCGUACCUUUUGUAUAAUGGGUCAGCGACUUAUAUUCUGUAGCAAGGUUAACCGUAUAGGGGAGCCGAAGGGAAACCGAGUCUUAACUGGGCGUUAAGUUGCAGGGUAUAGACCCGAAACCCGGUGAUCUAGCCAUGGGCAGGUUGAAGGUUGGGUAACACUAACUGGAGGACCGAACCGACUAAUGUUGAAAAAUUAGCGGAUGACUUGUGGCUGGGGGUGAAAGGCCAAUCAAACCGGGAGAUAGCUGGUUCUCCCCGAAAGCUAUUUAGGUAGCGCCUCGUGAACUCAUCUUCGGGGGUAGAGCACUGUUUCGGCUAGGGGGCCAUCCCGGCUUACCAACCCGAUGCAAACUACGAAUACCGAAGAAUGUUAUCACGGGAGACACACGGCGGGUGCUAACGUCCGUCGUGAAGAGGGAAACAACCCAGACCGCCAGCUAAGGUCCCAAAGUCAUGGUUAAGUGGGAAACGAUGUGGGAAGGCACAGACAGCCAGGAUGUUGGCUUAGAAGCAGCCAUCAUUUAAAGAAAGCGUAAUAGCUCACUGGUCGAGUCGGCCUGCGCGGAAGAUGUAACGGGGCUAAACCAUGCACCGAAGCUGCGGCAGCGACACUAUGUGUUGUUGGGUAGGGGAGCG